AACAAAAGAACAGAGAAAUAUGGAAGAGGAUGGAGCAAAUUGAAGAGAGUAAAUGGGCAAGAGUUGAAGAAAGGUGGGGAGAUGCAGGAAAUAGACAAAGGUGCCUAUGUACUUAGGAGCUGCCUGAAGCAGACUAGGAGAGGUGACAACCACAGAAAAGUACUAAGUACAGUAUUCCCUUGACAAAGACUUCAGAAAAGACUGAGACUAAAUCCUGCUUACAUGGCUUCUCUCUGAAAGAACUUCAGAAUUGUGCUCCUGUUCUGGGCAGAGAUGGGGUGGAGCCUAGACAAUGACUAAUAAAGGAUGACUAGACUAAUGGGAGACACACAAAGAGAGGGAUCUCAAUGUUUCACUGAACUGGAAGAGGUAGUGUGUCAAGUACAAGUGUGCAACAAGCAAAGGCAGAGUAGAGAGUCCCUUGGCCUCUAAGGUUAAAAAACAACAAAACAACAACAACAUGUUAAAUAUACUUUUGUAGUGAAGGAGUCAUUAUUGUACAAGGUGGCAUUUCUUAGGCUAGAGGAUAUAUUCAGACAAGCUGAAGCACAUGAGGACAAUGACAGGACAGGGUGUAAAAUAUCAGAACAGUCCAGCUUCUUCCCACACAGCCCAGGAGUCUGCAAGUGAGAGUCUUCUCUAGGCAAAAAGGCAGAGCAUAAAGCUGCCAGGACACUCCCAUUGGCUGGGCUCUAAGAAACAUCAAUAACUCCCUUGCUUUAAGCCCUUCACUACCUUCUACCUUCCUCUCAGGCACUUUGUAUGCUCCUGUUGUCUCAAGCUUGACAAGGAAGAACA
rnacentral:lncRNA from 1 species